UACGUGGGGGGCAAGCGUUGUCCGGAUUUAUUGGGCGUAAAGAGCGUGUAGGCGGCCAUACAGGUCAGCUGUGAAAACUCGAGGCUCAACCUCGAGACGUCGGUUGAAACCGUAUGGCUAGAGUCCGGAAGAGGAGAGUGGAAUUCCCGGUGUAGCGGUGAAAUGCGCAGAUAUCAGGAAGAACACCCGUGGCUAAGGCGGCUCUCUAGUACGGUACUGACGCUGAGACGCGAAAGCGUGGGGAGCGAACAGG
rnacentral:rRNA from 1 species